rnacentral:rRNA from 1 species
UCCUACGGGAGGUAGCAGUGAGGAAUAUUGGGCAAUGCCCGCAAGGGUGACCCAGCAACGCCGCGUGGAGGAUGAAGGCCGUAAGGUUGUAAACUCCUGUUAGAGGAGAAGAACAGUACCGAUUGGAUCGGUAUUUGACUGUACCCUCAGAGAAAGCCCCGGCUAACUACGUGCCAGCAGCCGCGGUAAUACGUAGGGGGCAAGCGUUGUCCGGAUUUACUGGGUGUAAAGGGCGCGCAGGCGGAAUAUCAAGUCAGAGGUGAAAUCCUACAGCUUAACUGUAGAACUGCCUUUGAUACUGUUAUUCUUGAGUUCGGGAGAGAGAGACGGAAUUCCAGGUGUAGUGGUGAAAUACGUAGAUAUCUGGAAGAACACCAGUUGCGAAGGCGGUCUCUUGGUCCGAUACUGACGCUGAGGCGCGAAAGCGUGGGGAGCAAACAGGAUUAGAUAACCUGGUAGA